rnacentral:rRNA from 1 species
AGUGAACGCUGGCGGUAGGCCUAACACAUGCAAGUCGAACGGCAGCACAGUAAGAGCUUGCUCUUACGGGUGGCGAGUGGCGGACGGGUGAGGAAUACAUCGGAAUCUACUUUUUCGUGGGUGAUAACGUAGGGAAACUUACGCUAAUACCGCAUACGACCUACGGGUUAAAGCAGGGGAUCUUCGGACCUUGCGCGUUUGAAUGAGCCGAUGUCGGAUUAGCUAGUUGGCGAGGUAAAGGCCCACCAAGGCGACGAUCCGUAGCUGGUCUGAGAGGAUGAUCAGCCACACUGGAACUGAGACACGGUCCAGACUCCUACGGGAGGCAGCAGUGGGGAAUAUUGGACAAUGGGCGCAAGCCUGAUCCAGCAAUACCGCGUGGGUGAAGAAGGCCUUCGGGUUGUAAAGCCCUGUUGUUGGGAAAGAAAAGCAGCAGGUUAAUACCCCGCUGUUCUGACGGUACCCAAAGAAUAAGCACCGGCUAACUUCGUG